rnacentral:lncRNA from 10 species
GAAUUUCCAAGAGAAAAACGUCUUGCAGCAGGUGGGUAUGUUUGAGAAACACAGGGUGCUUCCUGUUCCUUUUGAGAUCAUACCGAUGGACACCUGCCCACUCCACCUUUGUGAUAAGCGGUCUUGCACUCAAGAGAAUUCUUGGACCGAGGAAUGGUGAAUGCGGCAGCCCAGCCUGAGUCCACCCCUGACUGCAAAUCACAGGUCAGCUGGGGGCCUGCGCACCAGGCUCACUCUCACCCUUACCCUCACCCCCGGGGUUGCAGAGCAAAGGGCACUGGCCAGGGUUCUGGCUGGAAACAGCAGUAAGGGGGUCUCUCCUUUGUAGUUACAAAACACUCUCUGCUGGUCAAAACAUACAACUCUGCAAAAUUAAAUGUUUGUGUGUGUGUGUGUGUGUCAUAAAUAUAUACAUAUAUAUGUUUACUUUUGCAAAAAGAAACAUUGGGGAAUGGGAAAGAGGGACAGGGAUAGAAAGGACAUUUCUAAAGUAUACUUCCUUGAGGCUGGGCACAGUGCCUCACACCUGUAAUCCCAGCACUUUGGGAGGGUGAGGAGGGCGGAUCACCUGAGGUCAGGAGUUUGAGACCAGCCUGGCCAAUGAUGCGAAACCCUGCCUCUACUAAUAAUACAAAAAUCAGCUGGGCGUAAUGGUGUGUGCCUGUAAUUCCAGCUACUUAGGAGGCUGAGGCAGGAGCCUGGUAGGCAGAGGUUGCAGUGA